rnacentral:rRNA from 1 species
AGUGAACGCUGGCGGUAGGCCUAACACAUGCAAGUCGAACGGCAGCACAGGAGAGCUUGCUCUCUAGGUGGCGAGUGGCGGACGGGUGAGGAAUACAUCGGAAUCUGCCCAGUCGUGGGGGAUAACGUAGGGAAACUUACGCUAAUACCGCAUACGACCUUCGGGUGAAAGAGGGGGAUCGCAAGACCUCUCGCGAUUGGAUGAGCCGAUGUCGGAUUAGCUAGUUAGCGGGGUAAUGGCCCACCAAGGCGACGAUCCGUAGCUGGUCUGAGAGGAUGAUCAGCCACACUGGAACUGAGACACGGUCCAGACUCCUACGGGAGGCAGCAGUGGGGAAUAUUGGACAAUGGGCGCAAGCCUGAUCCAGCCAUACCGCGUGGGUGAAGAAGGCCUUCGGGUUGUAAGGCCCUUUUGUUGGGAAAGAAAUCUUUCAGGCUAAUACCCUGGGAGGAUGACGGUACCCAAAGAAUAAGCACCGGCUAACUUCGUG